rnacentral:lncRNA from 1 species
UCAUACAUCAACUAGCAUAAGGUUUUAAUGAUUACUUUCACUUAUUACAUAUCAUAUUGUUGUUCUCUCUACAUACUACUUACCACAAGAUCAUUGUUACCCGUGGGCUCAAUGCUCUGAGACUCGUCUCUUUCAUCCGCCAUUGUGGUAACCAUGCGAGUCAAAAACACUUUGAUGAUUGAAGUCCUCUUCUUAUAGCAUAUCUGCACAUUCAUCACAUCAUCUCCCUCGAGGAGUUUCCAUCAAGCAUCCUAAAGAGAGUGUUCUUCACAUUAUCGAACAUGUCAAAGAGUUCCCAUCAAGUAAGAACCUACUUCAAUUUACCAAAGGACAAGAAUGUUUGGAGAAUCUAAAGCAAGUGAGAGGGAUUUGAGAUAAAGUACCUUGACGUUCUGCUCACCACCAUCAACAGCGAUCUUAUCUGGUUGUAAAGCCUACAACCUCAUGUCUGCACAUCGAUUACACUACUAUGAGAACAAGUCUCAAUCUUUUUCCUUCACAGCAACAAUAAGAAGAAGCUAUAUGCCACUGGAAAUGAUCUACUUCAAAUUAAUCUGUACACCAAUCUAAGCAUCUUUAAGGGUACCCCCAAUACAAAUAAUCCCACCCACAACAAAAAAAAAAAUUGAACUUUCCAUGAGAAUCUAAAAGAUUUACCUUCACUUGGCGUGUCGUUGUGUAAGAGAGCUUGCAUACGAAGCCCUCCGUGGCUUGAUCCGUUGCUGAUUCUCAGAUUGUGGAUUCACGGAUUACAGGACCAACACGAAGACUGGGGCAAAUUAGAGAGGUGUGAUGAUGUUGAGAGAGCUUCCAUGGUCAUUAGAUUCGACGGAGAGGAUAAUGAAAGAUUUUAUUAGCUUGAAGAGUUACCAAUCUUUCACUGUUGAAAUAAAGUAGAGCUUAUUGGAAUCGACAUAGAAGAUGG